UUGGGCUAAUUUAAGCCCAUUUUGGGGUCAAUUCCCUCCAUUUAGGGCCAUUUUGGGCCCAUUUAGGGCCAUUUUGGGCCCAUAUAAACCCAUUUUAAUCCCCUUUUCGGGCCAUUUGACCCUAUAUAUACAUACACUCCCCCCUGCGCCACGCCCCCAAAGUCUCCGGCUAAAUACGGCAAGGGGGGGGGGGGGACAGCAA
rnacentral:lncRNA from 1 species